rnacentral:rRNA from 1 species
AAAUUGAAGAGUUUGAUCAUGGCUCAGAUUGAACGCUGGCGGCAGGCCUAACACAUGCAAGUCGAACGGUAACAGGAAACAGCUUGCUGUUUCGCUGACGAGUGGCGGACGGGUGAGUAAUAUCUGGGAAACUGCCCGAUGGAGGGGGAUAACUACUGGAAACGGUAGCUAAUACCGCAUAACGUCGCAAGACCAAAGAGGGGGACCUUCGGGCCUCUUGC